rnacentral:rRNA from 1 species
AGCGAACGCUGGCGGUAGGCCUAACACAUGCAAGUCGAACGGAAGCACAGUGAGAGCUUGCGCUUACGGGUGGCGAGUGGCGGAAGGGUGAGGAAUGCAUCGGACUCUACUUUUUCGUGGGGGAUAACGUAGGGAAAGCUACUCUAAUACCGCAUACGACGUACGGGUGAAAGCAGGGGAUCGUUUGACCUGUCGCGAUUGGAUGUGCCGAUGUCGGAUUAGGUAGUUGGCGGGGUAAAGGCCCACCAAGGCGACGAUACGUAGCUGGUCUGAGAGGAUGGUUCGCCACCCUGGAAGUGAGACAGAGUCCAGACUUCUAAGGGAGGCAGCAGUGGGGAAUAUUGGCCAAUGGGCGGAAGCCUGAUCCAGCCAUACCGCGUGGGGGCAGAAGGCCUUCGGGUUGGAAAGCCCUUUUGUUGGGAGAGAAAAGAAGCUGUUUAAUACCCCGCUGUUCUGACGGUACCCAAAGAAUAAGCACCGGCUAACUUCGUG